GACUAGUAUGAACGGCAUCACGAAGACUAUACUGUCUCCUUUUUAUAAUCAGUGAAACUGAUCUUCCCGUGAAGAAGCGGGAAUUAUUAUAUCAGACGAGAAGACCCCAUGGAGCUUUAAGUCAAACACCAACUGCUAUACUAAAUCACUAUAACUUUGGCAGAUCUGACUGUUAACUUUCGGUUGGGGUGACCACGGAGUAAAAUAAAACCUCCACAAUGAAUGAACCAAAUCCUAAUUCAAGAAUUACACUUCUAAAAAUCAAGACAUUGUCUUUUAUUGACCCAAGCCUUUGAUCAAUGAACCAAGUUACCCUGGGGAUAACAGCGCAAUCCAUUUCAAGAGCCCCUAUCGACAAAUGGGUUUACGACCUCGAUGUUGGAUCAGGGUAUCCUGGUGGUGCAACCGCUACUAAAGGUUCGUUUGUUCAACGAUUAAAACCCU
rnacentral:rRNA from 1 species